AUUGAACGCUGGCGGAAUGCUUUACACAUGCAAGUCGAACGGCAGCACGGACUUCGGUCUGGUUGCGAGUGGCGAACGGGUGAGUAAUGCAUCGGAACGUGCCCAGUCGUGGGGGAUAACGUAGUGAAAAUUACGCUAAUACCGCAUACGAUCUAUGGAUGAAAGCGGGGGAUCGCAAGACCUCGCGCGAUUGGAGCGGCCGAUAUCAGAUUAGGUAGUUGGUGGGGUAAAGGCCCACCAAGCCAACGAUCUGUAGCUGGUCUGAGAGGACGACCAGCCACACUGGAACUGAGACACGGUCCAGACUCCUACGGGAGGCAGCAGUGGGGAAUUUUGGACAAUGGGCGAAAGCCUGAUCCAGCAAUUCCGCGUGCAGGAUGAAGGCCCUCGGGUUGUAAACUGCUUUUGUACAGAACGAAAAGGUUUCUACUAAUACUAGGAGCUCAUGACGGUACUGUAAGAAUAAGCACCGGCUAACUACGUGCCAGCCGCCGCGGUAA
rnacentral:rRNA from 1 species